AGCGUAGACGGACUGGCAAGUCUGAUGUGAGAGGCGGGGGCUCAACCCCUGGACUGCAUUGGAAACUGUUAGUCUUGAGUGCCGGAGAGGUAAGCGGAAUUCCUAGUGUAGCGGUGAAAUGCGUAGAUAUUAGGAGGAACACCAGUGGCGAAGGCGGCUUACUGGACGGUAACUGACGUUGAGGCUCGAAAGCGUGGGGAGCAAACAG
rnacentral:rRNA from 1 species